rnacentral:rRNA from 1 species
GACGAACGCUGGCGGCGUGCUUAACACAUGCAAGUCGAACGGAAAGGCCUGCUUUCCCUUGUGGAUUGCGGGUACUCGAGUGGCGAACGGGUGAGUAACACGUGAGUGAUCUGCCCCCAACUUGGGUAUAAGCCUGGGAAACUGGGUCUAAUUCCCGAUAGGACUGCAGGGUGGUGCCUGUGGUGGAAAACGAUUUUCUAGUGGUUGGGGAUGAGCUCGCGGCCUAUCAGCUUGUUGGGGGGGUAAUGGCCUACCAAGGCGGCGACGGGUAGCCGGCCUGAGAGGGUGGACGGCCACAUUGGGACUGAGAUACGGCCCCGACUCCUGCGGGAGGCAGCAGUGGGGAAUAUUGCACAAUGGGCGGAAGCCUGAUGCAGCGACGCCGCGUGGGGGAUGACGGCCUUCGGGUUGUAAACUCCUUUCGACCGCGAGGAAGCCACCUGGUUGGAAGGGUGGUGACGGUAGUGGUAGAAGAAGCACCGGCUAACUACGUG